rnacentral:rRNA from 1 species
UACGUAGGGUGCAAGCGUUGUCCGGAAUUAUUGGGCGUAAAGAGCUCGUAGGCGGUUCGUCACGUCGGCUGUGAAAUCCCGAGGCUCAACCUCGGGUCUGCAGUCGAUACGGGCGGACUUGAGUACUGCAGGGGAGACUGGAAUUCCUGGUGUAGCGGUGAAAUGCGCAGAUAUCAGGAGGAACACCGAUGGCGAAGGCAGCUCGCUGGGACGGUACUGACGCUGAGGCGCGAAAGCGUGGGGAGCAAACAGG